CAGGAGAAACUCUUGUUGAGUUUUUGUCACGAAGCAAAGAUGGCGAGAAAGAGGUCAUGCUUUGUCCUCGGUGUAGUGCCGUUUUCGACAAGUCAGCAGCUAAAGCCUAUCAAGAUUCUGAGAUGAAGAGGCAUUACCAGAGCAAAAUGCCUGUGUCCAGAAGGUUGAAAUAUCCCCACGAGGAGUGGAUUGAAAGGGAUCAAGAACUCGAUGGCAAUAGAAGCCAAAAGUCAAGAAUCAAGGACAAGACUUAUAUCACUUCUCACCUGAAUUCAUCUUCACUCACACUCUGUUCUUCUCACCCUCUAUCUACAACGAGUUCUUCUCAGUAACUUAUCAUAAUCUCCUCCCUCCGUUUCGUCACCUCUGUUACCGUUGUUCGCGAGCAGUGUCGUUAUCAGUCGCAGGUUUCCAUUCUCAAACCAUGAAAUCUGAAUCUUCAUACUCAUGGCCACUCCGAGCAUCAUCUCUCGCGGUCUCCCUACUCUCCACGGCGCACGGCGAUGACUCAGAUAUCGUCUCCACGGCCUAUGUUCCCUAAUUUCAUCUUCACAGCCGGUUAGGUCUGAAUCCUCGGCUGCCAUUAUUCCCUCAUCACCAUCUCAGGCCACGCUACAUUCAUAUUUCAAAGAAACAUUCAAAGAAUCAAGGAUGUGGAGGGUGUGAGCAUUUCCUUUAUGCAUGUGUGUGCUCCUGCCAUUGCAGGUAACCAGCUUGGACUGAGGUUGUAUAUUGUUGCUCAGUAUUACUUAGAGAAUGAAGAUGAGGCAGAAAAUCAGCAAUAAAGGGGUGGUUCCUUUAGUUUUGACAUUAAAGCCAUCUUAUGGUGAAAGGGAAAGGAACACUAUAAAUCAUUAUAGGUAUGAAUAAUUUUCUGAAGUGAAAAGGAAAACGGAUAAAAAAGAAAUCCUCAGUUGCUUCAAACAUUUGAAGAUUGUGGUGAUGAAGAUGACAUCAACUUUGAUAAACAGAUCAUCAAUACUCGCGGCUCCCUACUCUUCACGGUGCGACAGUGAUGGGCGAUGACUCAGCCUCUCCUACCAUAAUAUGCAACGUAGCAAUCUUUCUAUUCCAUUGGGUGCAUAGAGUUGUGCGAAGUUUGCUGGAGUUGGAAGACUUUGAUCACAUAUCUACUGGGGAUUUGAUCGCCGACUCAAUAGCAAUGUCCCCCCCCACCGAGAAGAAUCAUCGUCGGAGCUUCUUCUCACUGUGCUUCUGUAACUCCGUUAGAAGCCUUCAAAUCCCCGAUUUCGAUUAUGGAUGACAACGUAUGAGUCCUCUCUACACGCACAGUGAGUGAUGAUCAAUUUAUAUUUUAUAAAGUGAGAUUGGAGACUAUAAAAUGCAAUCCCGUCGCCACUACUCACGGCCACACUAAGCCGCCACCAUGGUCCUUCGGAGCUACUUCAAACCCUAAUUUUGUGCGGCCAAGCCCAUCUUCUUCCCUAAUUUUGGAACUGUAGGAGGCUGAAAAUGGAAUUCCGUUAAUUUCUCCUUUAUAAUGCGCAGCUUACUAAGGUGUCUGAACGGGAAGAACAUUCAGGGUAUUCUCUGUGAGAGGCUGAGAGCUUGAACAUCACAAAAUAUGAUCGAAGGCUGAGCAUAGGAAGAGCUAUACACAGGUUGUGCUUCUCUCAAGUCGUUUCCUUUAAUCUUCUUUGAAUCUGUUUAUCUCACUGACUUAUCUUUUACUAUCAUUAAGGUAUGGAGAAACUUCUAUUGUGUAUUAGUUGCAAUUUUAGUAUACAUAUUCACCCUCCUCUCUGGAAGAUCAAAGGCUACGGGUUUCAUUUUGCUGAUAUCACUGAUGGAUUCGCGAGUCAUAUUGAUUUCCGUAUGUUAUGAUGUUCGCCGUUUUGCUGAUAUCAGAUGGAUUCGCCAGUCAUAUUGAAUUCCUCAUACUAGCUUCCAUUAUUAGAUACGAAUUUCAUGGUCUUUGGUUUCAUCUCUUCUAUAGUAUUUCUUUUGCUGCUCUAUGGUUUCAUGAUGUUUAGGGCUUCUGGGAAUUAGGAUUUAACCAAUCUCUCUAUCUUUCUUCUAUUAAUCAGUGAUUUGAAGUGCUUGAUCUGGUCUGAAUCAACAACCGCCAUGUGGUUAGUGCUCCUUUCCCAAAAAUUUGCUGAUUUUAAUCAAACUUCAUUCUUUACAACAAAAGUCCUAUUAAGUCCUAUUAUUCUUACUUUCUUCAUCUUUGCAAAUUAUUAAUCUGUCUGCCAGUAUAACUGGGUAUGAAACGGUUAGUUGGCUUUUGCUAUAGGCAGGAUUGAAAGGUAAGUUGAAGAUCUAGAAUUAGUGGGUAUAGCUUCUGAUGACAGUAUAACUGGUCACUUGGUUUUAGACUUCAGCUCCUUUCUUAUGUUCCCUGCUCCUUUUUCUAUAUUAAGUUUGAAAGUUUGUAUCCUACGUUUCUGUAUCCUAUGUGUUAUAUGUGAAAUAAUGGCAAUUUACUCUCUCAAACCAUUAUUGUCUCUUGCUAUAUCAUUCAAUUAAUAUAGCAAUAAUGGCUUUGCAUAAUCCAAAAUAUGAUGGUUUUACAUUUCCUCAGAUUUGUGCGUUGGUCAAAUUGACCAUUCCUAGACUAAAGGAAAUACACCAUUAAUCUUUCUAUCAGCAAUUAUAGCAUAUAAAUAGGCUUUAUUGCCUUGUCUUCUUCGUGGACUAUAGACAUGAGGGAAAAAGCUGAAUGACACAAAGAGAUCACAACCAAGUAUUCAUAUCUCAUCUUCUUCAUUUCACACUCCUGAUUCUCAUCUUGUGUUCAUAGCUAUCCCAAACAGCUCAGUGUCUGAACGGGAAGAACAUUCACGGUAUGGCAUUGGCAUGGGAGAGCUUGAACAUCACAAAAUAUGAUGGCAGAACUAUCAUAGAGAGAGCCAUACACAGCGUUGAAGAUGAAUGCAGUAGAGUUAAGGCCUUGAGAUUUUUGGAAAGAAGUUCUCACUGGAGAAAACAUUAGCAGUAAGGUUUGAAGGCAGAGCUACCUCACUGAAGACCACAGAUACAUGAAACAAUUACUCACUGGAGAAAACUUGCAUCUUCUUUGUGCAUUAGAGUAUCUAAUGCAGAUUGUAAUAAUUUUUAUGGUUUUCUACAACUGAUUCUGCCUCAUUGUGAUAUAGCAGCAAGUUUUAACAGUUGUAUAUGCAAUUUGGGAGCAAAAGAAAAAUGUGAAAUUUCAUAAUAGGAUGUAUCCUGCUGAUAUUGUUAUUAGCAAGACAUUUUUCUCUGAAACUUUAUCCUCAAGAUCCUUAGAUGUGUUAUUGUAGAUUCCUGCACUCCGGUCACGGAUAAUGGGAGGGAGAUUAUUAACCGAAAAUUACACGCUCACUCUUUACAAAUUUUUAUGUUCAAACUGCUGCUGCCGUUGAUAUUCAUUCUUGCUUCUGCAUUAUCCCAAGAUAUUGAAUCCAAGCUCUGCUCGCGUGCGCCUCUGGCAGGCUUCCCUCAAGGAAAAUGAUGCCAGGGUUAUUGAAGGAUUCUUAAGGAUCCCUGAAAUUGAUGGUUUAAUUAGUGGUUCAAUCUUCUUGAAAAAUAAAUUUGCUGUCGUCCUCAAAGAGAACGCAAUCGUCGAUGUCUCGUGAUCACAGUAUAUUUUUUCCUGAUUUUGUCAUAUGCUGAUUAGAGUUUGAGGCUUUCUAAGGUUUGAAGGAUGGAGUGGUGAUUGCCUGAAUGGGGAUCAUUGAAGAUUGAGUACAUUUUGUGGUAGUUCUCAUUAUACCUAAUCUCACACACUAUAUACAACGCUAUUAAGAACAUGUUAUGAAUUUUACACAUCAAUUUACUUACUUGAUUGACAUCAUAGGUAGCUGCUGCCAGCAAGUUCCCACUUCAUGACACUGUUUGGCUAAACAUUGACACCAGCCAUGACAAGUUUGAGUCUUUUAUAAAGGAUACUUUGUUUAGAAUUAUUGGCAAAUAUAUAUUUUCAGGGACAUAGCUAUCAAAGCUGGUUUAUGAAGGGCCAUUGGCCAGUUUUUUUUAUAAUUAAAUUAUCUGCAUUGCUUUUUUAAUCUCUUCCUACUUGAUUUGUUUUGAUUAUUUGUAUCUAAAGCUAGAUAUUAGUAUGACCUUUUUUUCUGGCUCAUCAAUAUUUUUUCUCUUCUUUUUGUCUAGGAUUGAAGACUCUUAUUUGACCCACAAGAUUCACUCAGAUUCACAAGUAAGAAUGAUAUAGAGGAUGAUGCAGGGACAGAACUGAUAAAUCCUUUUUGCUUGCCUGUAUAAUGGUCAUUUGUUCUUAAGCUGCUGGGCACUAAAAGGAUGUACGUAGGUUGACAUACAGCUCAGUUAGGUUACUUUAUUAUUGGUAUUUUUUAAGUAGUAGAUUCUGUGUCAUGGCUUCUACUGUUGAUAAUUCAGCACAUAUUGCUUCCUUUAUUUUUUUGGUGACAAUCUAUAGCAUUAUCGUUGCAUGUAUAAUCAUAAGAAGUAAAAAUAUGGUGGGUGCUGAUGUAAAUAGAUUGGAGCUGAAUUUUGAAUAUAUAUAGUAAUCAUUAUUACAUUUGAAUAUGUUUGUUGGUGUUAAUAGGCGGGAGCUUAAUUAUUGAAUAUGGUAUAGAAGUGGUUGGAACUGAGCCAACCACUUUUAUUGUGCAGGGAUUGAAUGAACAUGAAACAGAGAGGUCAGAAAUUUCUGAGCCUGUAGCUCAUCAGAUCUGAAUCCUACCCUUUCUUGAGAUAAGUGCUUCCCUUUCCGUGUGUUUUUCUUCUCAACUCAUGUAUUGUUGUCGUUGUGUUUAAAGUUCGUAUCUUUUGGUCCUAAAACCUUUUUCGCAUUUCUUAUUUGUCAAUAAAUUUGAGGGAGCUACAAGAGUAGUGGAUCAAAGAGGAGAUUUUUGGUCACCCCAGUCGAAGGUUCAUCUUUCAGGUUCUUUUUCUCAUAUUCACGCCGCUCUUGCUUUAAAUAUUUUACCAAAAUCAAUCAGCAAAUUCAGGAUCCAUUUCAAUUGGAUUAGUGGGUUUUGAUUCAUAGUUGGAAGUUUGGUAGUCUUCCUUGCUUUCUUUUCCUUUAUAUUUGCACUCUGCUAAUUUAAUUUGCUGAACUGGCGGCAAUCAUAUUGGAGAUUGUCCCGUCCUUCUCUUUUAUUAUUUUGGAACAUGAAAAAAAUGGUUUCUUUAUGAUUUUAUAGUUUCUUGCAGCUGCCUUUUCUCUUUCAAAUGUAAUCAUGCUUGAUUCUAUUAACUAACUUCUACCUACAACUAAGCUUGGCCUCUUCUCCAUCUCCUUCCUUCUGGCUUAACCUCACUAACAAUUAUAAACAAUAGUUAUUGUUUUGAGAUAGUUACUUUAUAGCUAUGAUCACUUCGAUUUAAUUUAUUAAUUUUUCCAAGUUCUUUUAGAAUUCUUGGAUUACGAAUGCAUAUUCGUGCCAUAAGUAAUUGCAAUUCAUGAUAGCUGUCUGAGGUCAAUAGUGAGCGCAUUCAUUGGCUAAGCCUUAUAUUAUUGUUGAGUAUGCCAAAAAAUUCAGAGAUGAAGAAACACCUUGGUCAGAGGCAGCGUUAUUGUUGUCGAGUGUGCUAAAAAAAUCAGAGAUGAAGAAACACCUUGGUCAGAGGCAGAGUUCAGAGAGAAGAGAAUCCUUCCUGCCAAUUUUAGAUACCUUUAUGUUUAUUAUAGAGCAGCAACUUGCUUACGCAUAAGGGAGUGACAUACCCUAUGCAGAAUCAGUGAAGCAAAAUGUAAAUAUAUUGUUGAAUAAAGAUCUUGUGGAUAUGUCUUUUCUUUCACUUUCCUUUCGAUCUGUGUAGCUUUGCAAGGCUAAGUGCAGGCCCUUUCCAGCUUUUGAAAAAAACCAAGACUAUAUAUACCCAUGUUUAAUGCUUUGUUCUUUUGGUUGCGUAUGCAAUAUAAAUUGAUAGAUUGAGGAUCUCCGCCUAUGAAUCAGUAGAACUGUUUCACAUGA